GAGAAACCUAUAUUCAGCUGCAGCAGUGCCCUUACAGAGAAGUGAUUUUCAAUGGGUCUGUUACGGGCUCACUUAACACUAUUUUAAUUGUUUUUAAAUGUUUCUAUGGGCUUUUGGAGGUCAGAAGCUGCUAAGUACCGAAGUCUUCCCCAGGGCUCUAGUCUGCGGGUUGGACAAAGGAAGCCCGGAGACUGUGAAAGGGAGCCUGGGAUUAACAGAAGUGAGGGACUUCUGAAAGCUCCUCUAGGACUAUGACUGGACACUCCUGAAAAAUUAUGACUGAUGGACCAGUGAUUAGACUCUCAGUACAAUAGGGAGACUGGAAUGUUUCCAGGCCAGAGGCUAACUACCUUCUCUUGGGCUAGUUCUAGCCCUCUGGAGCAGUCAUUCCUUGCUGAUCUCUGCAAGGCCUUUAACAUAAUAGAUUAAAAACCUUUGCAGAUUCAGUCUUCUGUCAAUCCCAAAGCUAAGAAUGUCAUCUGAUAGCAUCUUGGGCAUAUAGAAAAGUCUCCCCCAUCUUGCUGUAACCACCUCUCUGUUGU